rnacentral:lncRNA from 1 species
GGUUGCUGCCUUUCCUUCAGGUGCAGGAAGACCCCAGUGUACUGGAACAAUAAAUUCCUCUUGCUUUUGCAUCGAUCCCUAGCUCCAAGUUGUUCACUGUGGCAGGGGUAGGGGUCCCAGGUAAGCUAAGGCUCGUUAGAGUCUUACAUUUGGUGCAUGGGCUGGGAAUUCGACCUCCUGUGAGGACACACCAGAGAGCCGUGAAUCAGAGGUCUCGAGCAGCCCACCUAGGUGAUAUCCAACAACUCACGAGAGUACUCUUCAUGACCGAAGAGAGAGAAGAUAAUGCAGGAAGCUAGAAAGACAUGGGGGCACCAUCGAUUGACCAGGUUGUUGUCGACAGCGGGCUUUCUCUGACUAGACCUGAGUAGGACUUGUCUUAGUCAGGGUUUCUACUCCUGCACAAACAUCAUGACCAUGUUUUGGGGAAGCAAGCCAUUAAAGAACAUCCCUCCAUGGCCGCCUCUGCAUCAGCUCCUGUUUUCUGACCUGCUUGAGUUCCAGUCCUGACUUCCUUCAGUGAUGAACAGCAGUAUGGAAGUGUAAGCCGAAUAAACCCUUUCCUCCCCAA